UGCAAGUAUCCGCACCCCUGUGAAAAUGCCCUUAAGCCUCCCUUUAGAGGAUAAGGAGCUGGUAUCAGGCUCACACAUUAGCCCAUGACACCUUGCUCUGCCACACCCCCAAGGGAACUCAGCAGUGAUAAACAUUGAAUAUGAGCGACUUUAAGCUCGAUUCAGUUACAGCUUAUAGGGUCGGUUAAUCUCGUGCCAGCCACCGCGGUUAUACGAGAGACCCAAAUUGACAACCCCCCGGCGUAAAGCGUGAUUAGAGAGAACCCUUAUUAGAGUUAAAUAUUUACUAGGCCGUCGCACGCUUUAGUUUAAUAGAAAUUCAACUACGAAAGUGACUCUAUCUUCCUUGAACUCACGAUCGCUAGGACACAAACUGGGAUUAGAUACCCCACUAUGCCUA
rnacentral:rRNA from 1 species